GCAGUAGCCGCGGUAAUACAGAGGGUGCAAGCGUUAAUCGGAAUUACUGGGCGUAAAGCGCGCGUAGGUGGUUUGUUAAGUUGGAUGUGAAAUCCCCGGGCUCAACCUGGGAACUGCAUCCAAAACUGGCAAGCUAGAGUAUGGUAGAGGGUGGUGGAAUUUCCUGUGUAGCGGUGAAAUGCGUAGAUAUAGGAAGGAACACCAGUGGCGAAGGCGACCACCUGGACUGAUACUGACACUGAGGUGCGAAAGCGUGGGGAGCAAACAGGAUUAGAUACCCCAGUAGUCCCUGUCUCUUAUAC
rnacentral:rRNA from 1 species